AGCGACUAAGCGCAUACGGUGGAUGCCUUGGCAGUCAGAGGCGAUGAAGGACGUAGAAACCUGCGAUAAGCGUUGGUAAGCUGGUAAACGAGCUUUGACCCAACGAUUUCCGAAUGGGGAAACCCAUCCGUCAUAAGGCGGAUAUCCUGCACUGAAUACAUAGGUGUAGGAAGCGAACCCGGAGAACUGAAACAUCUAAGUACCCGGAGGAAAAGAAAUCAACCGAGAUUCCCCUAGUAGCGGCGAGCGAACGGGGAUCAGCCGAUGGUUGUUGUGUUAGUGGAAUGCUCUGGAAAGUGCAGCAAUAGAGGGUGAUAGCCCCGUACACGAAGACACAGCGAUCACAUAUUAAGUAGGACGGGACACGUGUUAUCUUGUCUG
rnacentral:rRNA from 1 species